UUGCUUUGGCAGCACAUAUUCUAAAACUGGAAGGAUACAGAGAAGAUUAGCAUGGCCCCUGCACAAGGAUAACACUUUUAUUUAACUUAAAAAAAUAUAA
ensembl:snRNA U6 U6 spliceosomal RNA